CAACUGUGUAUGUGCUGCACCUCUGCUGACUCUGCUACCACUUGAACCCACACAGUCCUCCUACAGAGAGCUUGGUUUUCUCCAUACAAAAUAAUGAAGGCUAUUUCCAGUUGUCUCGAAAGACUCAGAUUUUGACAAUAUGAGCUCAGAGACCCAGGAAGUUUUGAGGGAUAAAACAUGAGGAAGACUCCAGGUCUCUAGUUGCUGGCUGCAUUGGUUCCUCUGUCUCUCCACUUUCUUGAAAGAGAAGUCAGGGAAUCCCAUUGCUCAGCUACCUAUAUCCUACCCUCCCAACAGAUAAAAGUGCAACAGACAUACAUAGUUUUUGAAGAACAGUGAGAAAUUUAGGAUUAAACAGAUUGUUGGAUUGAUGACUGAACAACAGAAAAAAGUUUCUGGAUUUUUUUUAAUUGGUCUGAAAUAAGACAAUCUUUUUUUUUUUUUCUCCAACAAAAUAACCAUAAAUUCUU
rnacentral:lncRNA from 1 species